UGGGCAGAAACAUCCCACGCUUCCCCCUCCACCUGCGGCUGGACAGCCAGGUUAAUGGAUAAACAAACUUCCUGCGUCCAAACUGACACCGAAACUUGUCCGGAAUACUUCCGCUGUGGUGACGAACCUGUCAAUGGGACUUUUUACAAGAAAGUUAUUUUUUUCUCCAGUCAAUAGUUAUUAGUGUUAAUGUUUCUGAGUCAGAAACCCAACCAAACAGCGCUUAGCGUCAGCCUCGCUCACACGUUUCCCUCGGAGCUUCUUUAAACCGAAACAGAAGCAGGGCGUUGGGAUUUCCAUCUGAACAUGGACCGGUACCGGUACUUCAUAUUCAACCAGAGGAGUGUGCUCAUCCUGGGCAUCCUCCAGAUAGCCUGUGCGGGUCUCUGUGUCGUCUGCGGCUUAAUGGACGCUGCUUUCCGCAAGAACACCCCGCUGAGCACCAGCAGGACGCCGGUGUGGGGAGGACUGAUUAUGGCCUGUCCUGGUGUGCUGGCGCUGUUUGCAUCCCAGAGGAAGAAUGCUGUGUUGGUCAGCUGCAUGAUGGUGGCUGCAGGACUUUCCUGUGCAGCUGUGGUCGUCAUCUUCGGCUACUCCUGUCUGACGCUGACCUAUGGGGAAGAGGACGAAGACGUCUUCCACCAACACAAAAGUGCCAAAGUGACAUUUGUUCUCCAUCGGAUGGUGAAAGGAGCCAAUGCCACCAUCAUCCUGACUUGCAUCAUCAGCCUGGUUCUGUCUUCCCUCAUUGGUUAUGUGGGUUUCCGGAGCCUUCCAUGCUGUGGCUGCUAUGAUUCCAGGACUGGACUGGAGACUCUGGUUCCUCAGACUGAUCCUGGAGACAGGGAGUUGGUGUGUACUUGGCAAGCAGGUGGUGAUGACAAACUUUUCAACUCUCCUCAAACAUCUGCUGGAGUCACCAAAGAGGAAGAGGAGGCUCCCUCUAACCUUCCUCCAUACAGCAGACUGACCUGACCCAGAACCCUGACCGUCCAGCUGGUUUCCAUCACCACUCUAUGGACAGUUUCAGUGUUCUAUCAGCCAAACAAUGUAAUAUGAAGAUCAACCAGACAGAGACUGAUCAGUACAGCUUCCAUCAGUUUUCCUUUAACUCCCUGAAUUCUCUGAAUCUAAGUUAUGAUUUUAUUGUGUUUAAUAAAUACAUUUGAACAGUAGUGUUUGUUUUUGAACAAUUGACAGCUUAAGAUGACACUUGUGUCCAACAUUUAUUGCAAGGUGAUGUAUGGUGAAAGAAAGCGCAUUCCUGUUUAACUUUGUUCCCGGGUGUAGCUGUCAGUCUGUUUUCAGUCACAUCCAGAGCAGCAGCAGUAUUUCCUUGAGGAGCCAGGUCCAAACACGAUGCAAAUGGAUCAGAUUCCAAGGAAAGCACUCAGUCUGACUUGUGCUGACAGGCCACAGAAAGGCUCUUCAUGUGAACAGAAAGUCCUGAGAGACGGCGACGGAGUGAAGUGUGAGGCGAUCAUCAGCAGAACCACAGGACCAGCUGUGGUCACACAGCAGCUUCAAACAAACAAGAUGCAGGUUGGUGCUGUUACUGUAUGAAUAUACAGGCUUAUUUCAUAUUCAGGAAAACACUUCUACAUGUUAAGACGCCUGAGGUACACGAUGGAGUGCAGGCCUGCACAAAGUGUCUGAUUCCUGGUGCGAUCUGGAUCGUUGAAUGCAUUACGUGGCAAAAAGCUCCAGAUCUAUGAUGAAUUGAAAAUAAUGAAAAGCUUCAUUGUCCCAUUCAAUACAGGUAUUGAUCCACUUCAGCUGGUGAAUUAAAGGGAUAGCUCAUAUUUUAGAGUUGUGUUACAGAGUAAAGUACUACCUGCAAUAUACAUACAUUUAAGUAAGAACACCAAAAUCAAAGGAGGGUGACUAGCAUUGCUUGUUAGCAAUGCUAGCAAUGAUUGUGUCGUCUAGGACAGAAUACAUUAAAUAAUAAAUUAAAUUGAGCUGUUAGCAAGUCAUUACCAUCAUGAGACUGAUUGAUGCAGCUGGCAUCAGCAUCCACAACGACUCUGAAGAGACUUGGUGAAAGGAGUUACGAAAACAUUUCAUUCCCUGAAUAAAGUAUUUUUGUAUAGAAGUGAAUAAGAAUGAAAAUCUGAAAUAUCCCUUUAGGUCAGCAGCUAACGCAGCACUGCAUAACAUUUUGUUCAGAGACGUUACAAAAGCAGGUGUGAACAUUUCACUCACAUUCCACUAACACUGACAUCCCAGUGUCAGUGGGACGGUUCCCAGUAACAACACACACCAUAGAAUAAAAGAAUAAAAAAAGUUACAGUUUCAAAGUUUUCAUUACCUUUCCAAGAGUUCCAAGAAAGACUAAUUUGGCUGUUUGGAAAUAUUUCAAGUAGAAACAAACUAAGAGUCAUGGUGUGAAACCUAAAGAGUUAAACUCUUAUUAAGUAGGAAUACACAAUAUAUCAGCAGUAACAUCGGUAUCGUCUGAUAUUAAUCAUGUUUUAACAUAUCUCUAUUGGUCCGAUAAAUGAUCCAAUAUCCUCCUAAAUUUGGAUAUAUGUGCAUUCUUAUUAUUAACCCCUAAACAGUCACGACAACCAAUGCUAAAUAUGGCAACAAAGUUGGUGACAAAAAGAAAAACAAAUUGCUAUCAGCCAAAAUCAGAAUCAGCAGUUCAGGCUUUUUACAGAUCAGUGAUCGGCCAGAAAACUGCCAUCGGUGCACCCCUAAAUGAAACUGUUGAAUCUUCAUUUAUCACUCUGAGGCUCAUAAUGACCAUCUAUGGAGGAGCUCAGAACCAAUCCAGGAAUUCACAUUGUUGGAGUCCAGACUGUUUUUUUUAAUCUACCAUCAUCCCAGCUCAUUUCUAAUGAAGCUCAACAACACCAACAUAAAGCCACUGAACGGUAAAAUCAAUGCAAAAACAAAAACAGCUGAAUGUCCAGUUGAGAAUUUGUUUGAUUAAACAAUCACCUUGGUUACCAAACCACCGUAUAUAAAGAUUAACCAGCUUCUGUGCUCAGUGUCUUCCAUUUCACUCAGAUGCCCUGAUAAAUGGAAAAUCCAAAGAACAGAGGUGAGACCUGAAGGCAUCAAACCAUACUGCCAACCAGUGGACCUGCCUGGACCGCUCCUCCUCCUACUCAGCCUCUUCUCUGCUCACUAAGAUCUGGACAGCCAGUGGAGUUUGAGUCCUCAGCAGCUGCUGCAGCUCCACCCUCUGCCUCCGCCCCCGUCGCCGCCGUCAUUCCUCCCUCCGCUCAGGGUGACGGUGCCUCCCGACCCCUCGGCCGGCUGGCUCAGCACUAGAGGCUUCUGGGACUUGAGCUUGUGGGCCACAGUCAUAAAGAUGGCCUCGACGUGGUCGCUGUCGCGGUAGCUCCCGCCUCCCAGGCCGUUGGGGCUCUUGGCGGACGUCUCGAACAGAGGCAUGGAGUGAGCGUCCGCAAACUGCUGCGCUACGUCCGUGCCCACCUGGACCGAGUCCUGCAGGUCGCACUUGUUCCCCACCAGGAUCCUGGGCACCUCGGUUCCCAGGGCGUGCUGCUUGCACUCCUCGAUCCAGGCGGGGAGGCUGCGGAAGCUGGCGGCGUUGGUCACGUCGUAGACGAACACCACGGCGUGGACGUUGCGGUAGUAGUGCUGCACCAUGGACUUCCUGAAGCGCUCCUGGCCGGCAGUGUCCCACAGCUGGAUCUGGGGGGGACAGAGCACCCUGGUUAUUUAGUUAACACAGACUAAACCAGACUCUAGAAGCUCUGCUGCUUCCUCCACAGGACUGGGAGUGAUGGAUGAGAACAAGCAGCAGAGAGGAGGCAACAUUCAAGAAACCUCUCUUUCUUUUAAUUAACUGAACAUGUUACUUAUCCAUUAUCAAUUAUUAGCAUUACUGUUACUUAUACUUAUGGCACAAUGAAACAUCACAGGUGGAUAACUGUAGUUAGUACUAAUUGAACAUGUCAUUUAUUAUCUAUUUAUUAUCGAUUAUUAGCAUUACUAUUACCAUUAAAACUUGUGGCACAAUGAAA